rnacentral:rRNA from 1 species
CCGCUGUCUCCAACAUCGACUCAGCGAAAUUGAAUUGCCUGUCAAGAUGCAGGCUUCCCGCGGUUAGACGGAAAGACCCCGUGCACCUUUACUACAGCUUCGCACUGGCAUCAGGAUUGUGAUGUGCAGGAUAGGUGGUAGGCUUUGAAGCGGUGACGCCAGUCAUCGUGGAGCCUCCCUUGAGAUACCACCCUUUGCAUUCUUGAUGUCUAACCGCGGUCCGUUAUCCGGAUCCGGGACCCUGCGUGGCGGGUAGUUUGACUGGGGCGGUCGCCUCCUAAAGAGUAACGGAGGCGCGCGAUGGUUGGCUCAGGACGGUUGGAAACCGUCUGUUAGAGUGCAAUGGCAUAAGCCAGCCUGACUGCGAGACUGACAAGUCGAGCAGAGACGAAAGUCGGUCAUAGUGAUCCGGUGGUCCCUCGUGGAAGGGCCAUCGCUCAACGGAUAAAAGGUACGCCGGGGAUAACAGGCUGAUACUGCCCAAGAGUCCAUAUCGACGGCAGUGUUUGGCACCUCGAUGUCGGCUCAUCACAUCCUGGGGCUGUAGCAGGUCCCAAGGGUAUGGCUGUUCGCCAUUUAAAGUGGUACGCGAGCUGGGUUUAGAACGUCGUGAGACAGUUCGGUCCCUAUCUGCCGUGGGCGUUGGAAAUUUGAGAAGAGCUGCUCCUAGUACGAGAGGACCGGAGUGAACGAACCCCU